rnacentral:rRNA from 1 species
UGGGGAAUAUUGCACAAUGGGCGAAAGCCUGAUGCAGCAACGCCGCGUGAGUGAUGAAGGCCUUCGGGUUGUAAAGCUCUGUCUUUUGGGACGAUAAUGACGGUACCAAAGGAGGAAGCCACGGCUAACUACGUGCCAGCAGCCGCGGUAAUACGUAGGUGGCAAGCGUUGUCCGGAUUUACUGGGCGUAAAGGAUGCGUAGGCGGAUUUUUAAGUGAGAUGUGAAAUACCCGGGCUUAACUUGGGUGCUGCAUUUCAAACUGGGAAUCUAGAGUGCGGGAGAGGAGAAUGGAAUCCCUAGUGUAGCGGUGAAAUGCGUAGAGAUUAGGAAGAACACCAGUGGCGAAGGCGAUUCUCUGGACCGUAACUGACGCUGAGGCAUGAAAGCGUGGGUAGCAAAC